CCUAUAUGCGAUUAGUUUAUAGAGCAUUAUUCUUUUACUAUCUUCAUACAUCAUUUUAGUACUAUAGAAAGAUUCCGGAGACAGUCCUUAAAAAUAGUACUGAAUAUAGAAAAAUUAGUCAUAAAAAUCUUAAAGUCAUCAUCCCUUUUAUUAGCAAUAUCCCAUCCGAUAACUUAUUUAUGUACUUUUAGAACACCUAUAAGUUGGUCUUUCUGGUUAGGGUUCAUCAGUGGGGUGUCGAUGGGUGCAUUAAGAAGUGUCAUC
rnacentral:lncRNA from 1 species